AACGAACGCUGGCGGCGCGCCUAAUACAUGCAAGUCGAGCGAGAAGGUGUAGCAAUACACUUGUAAAGCGGCGAACGGGUGAGGAAUACAUGGGUGACCUACCAUUGAGUGGGGAAUAAC
rnacentral:rRNA from 1 species